UUGUCUCUAAAGACAAUUGAGAAAAAAAAUCUAAAGCGCAGCUUGGAGAAAAAGGCGAUCUUUGCAUUCUCCCUCUCCGGUGGCCGGCAAGCUUUGUCGGUGCCGUGAGAAGGCUAUUAGGGUAUCUAUGUUGUGUCUCUAGACUGAGUUGAAGCUAUCGACAUCUUUGGAGAUUUUUGGAUUAAGAUGUGAUUUCAAUUUCACUUUGUAGUUUGCUUGGGUUGCUUAUCCAGUUUUGUAGCUUUUUCUGGUGUGUGGUGUAGGGUAUGCCGGCUCUGAUGUAGGGUGGUACUUCUUCCAUUGGAUCUAGGUAGGCAGAUAACUCAGUUAGUUCAUAGGUGUUUGUCAGGCUUAUCUUUUCUCUCGUCUCUGUCUUGGUAUGUCGAUCGGUCUCAGAUUCGGGUAGUGGUCUUAGCUUCUCUCUUUGGUCUAAAUCCAUCACCUCCCGAUAUAAGUUUGGUUCUACAACAAGGUAGCAUGUUGUGGUGUGAUCUUGUGUAGCUUCACAUGAGUCUGCUCCGUGGAGGCAAUUCAAGGGAGUGUAGUGGAUUUUGUUUAAGGUAUUCAAAUUUACCUUCGAUAACUCUCUGAGGAUCGUUAGAUGGUUUCCUUUUCUUGAGUCAUCUGUGGAUUCUAGAAGUGGUUUUGCUUCAUCCUUGGUUGAUGUAGCUGAUUUUCCUGGUUCAAGGCACUUCCUUCUUUUGUCUCAGCCAAAUUCUCUCAAAAUUUGAUACCAAUCCUCUGUUUCUAUGGUUGUAUCUAUUGAAGAAGUUUAAUGUUCUUCAGCACGCUAGUGUUUGGUUAGUCCUUCGACUGUUUGGAAAAUGGCGUUGCUCGUGUUCUUGGGCAGUGAUGUUCUGCUCUGGUUUGUGGAGUUGCUGUUUUUAUCUAAGGCAUCCAGUUUCUUAUCUCCGACGUUCUUUGGUGUUGCGAAGUUGUGAUGUCCCUUGGUUUGAAAUCAACUGGUUCUCCAGAUUACUUGGUAAGGGACAUUGGAUCUGUGUCUCAAUUGCAUGUCUUUGAGUAGUUAGUUUCUAACGUCUUCUUUGGCUGCCCGGAUUGAAGAAGUUUUUCUCUUGUGGCGUCUUGUUUGUGUUGAUGAAUGUGUUGUGGUUUGUUCGUGGUUCCAGUGUUUCACCGUUCUAAGAGAUCUUCUUCCAACUCCAAUAAUUUAGUCGUGUAUCGCUUUUUCAUUCAUCUCUUUUUCCGGCGCUGUUCAGCUCCACCCUUGUUGCAGACUAUCAUGGUCCUCUAAUGUACCUAUCUGUAACCUUGUCUCCUUCAUUAAGUUUUGUUUAGUUGUUCUUUUAAAUGUUUGUUUAUAAAGUUUGUAUCUAGGAGAGGUUACUCUUACCUUACCGGCUUAUGGUUCCGGAAAAGUUGUAUACCUUUGCCAGCUCUGUGUAA